rnacentral:snRNA from 1 species
AUUGCUUCUCGGCCUUUUGGCUAAGAUCAAGUGUAGUAACAAAUGGAAGUAUGUCCAUCUGUGAUGGUUAGUUUUAGUUUUAUGUAUCAAUU